GGCGCCAUAGCCAAGAGGUUAAGGCACGAGUCUGCAAAACUCUGAUCGUCGGUUCGAUUCCGAUUGGCGCCUCCA
rnacentral:tRNA from 1 species